rnacentral:SRP_RNA from 1 species
GCCGGGUGUCGUGGUGGGCACCUGUAAUCCCAGCUACUCGGGAGGCUGAGGUGGGAGAAUUGCUUGAGCCUGGGAGGCAGAGGUUGCAGUGAGCCAAGAUUGUGCCACUGCACUCCAGCCCAGGCAACAGAGCAAGACUCCCUCUA